rnacentral:rRNA from 1 species
UGGGGAAUAUUGGACAAUGGGCGCAAGCCUGAUCCAGCCAUGUCGCGUGAGUGAUGAAGGCCUUAGGGUUGUAAAGCUCUUUCACCGGAGAAAAUAAUGACAGUACCGGGAGAAUAAGCCCCGGCUAACUCCGUUCCAGCAGCCGCGGUAAUACGGAGGGGGCUAGCGUUGUUCGGAAUUACUGGGCGUAAAGCGCGCGUAGGCGGCUUUGUAAGUUAGAGGUGAAAGCCCGGAGCUCAACUCCGGAACUGCCUUUAAGACUGCAUCGCUAGAACGUCGGAGAGGUAAGUGGAAUUCCGAGUGUAGAGGUGAAAUUCGUAGAUAUUCGGAAGAACACCAGUGGCGAAGGCGACUUACUGGACGACUGUUGACGCUGAGGUGCGAAAGCGUGGGGAGCAAA